GAUUGUCUUCAAGGGUCAGGAGGUUGAAGGUUGGAUAGUUGACUUUGGGCCUGCAGAGAGAGUAACACGUCCUGCGCCGGCAAUGUGCUCAAGCCUCUGAGGACCAACGUGGUCGGGAACGAGGCAGCCGCGGUGAGAUUGGGUUUAUAUCUCUCAGAGUGGCUGCAGGGCAAUUCAUGAAGAGAUGUUCUUGUCAAAGAUGGGAGCACAAAUGGAGAUAUUGAGGAAUAGUUACCUCAGGGUGAAGGGCCUCCAUGAAUGGCCGUGGGGCAGCAUCUUGGCGAGGCCAAAAGGCUGCUGUUCUCCCUGUUGGUGCACAUGGUUGUGUCUUAGUGGACGGAAGACAUUUUUCUCCAACACGCCAUCUGAAAUAAUAAAGUAUGUGUUUUGAUACCUUUAAUACAGUAUUGUCUCAUACAUAUUGC